GUGAGGAAUAUUGGUCAAUGGGCGGAAGCCUGAACCAGCCAAGUAGCGUGCAGGAUGACGGCCCUACGGGUUGUAAACUGCUUUUAUACGGGAAUAACGCGCCUUACGUGUAGGGCUUUGCAUGUACCGUAUGAAUAAGGACCGGCUAAUUCCGUGCCAGCAGCCGCGGUAAUACGGAAGGUCCGGGCGUUAUCCGGAUUUAUUGGGUUUAAAGGGAGCGUAGGCCGCAUGUCAAGCGUGCUGUGAAAUGUCCGGGCUCAACCCGGGCCUUGCAGCGCGAACUGGCGUGCUUGAGUCCGCGGAAAGCAGGCGGAAUUCGUCGUGUAGCGGUGAAAUGCUUAGAUAUGACGAAGAACCCCGAUUGCGAAGGCAGCUUGCUGCAGCGGAACUGACGCUGAUGCUCGAAAGCGCGGGUAUCGAACAGGAUUAGAAACCCUUGUAGUCC
rnacentral:rRNA from 1 species